rnacentral:piRNA from 1 species
UGAACACCAUCUAUGACAAUGCGGUCC